GCCCGCCUAGCUCAAUCGGAUAGAGCGUCAGACUCUUACUUAGCUGUAGAGGCGGGAUUAUCUGAAGGCUGCGAGUUCGACCCUCGCGGUGGGCU